rnacentral:rRNA from 1 species
AUACGGGGGGGGCAAGCGUUGUUCGGAAUUAUUGGGCGUAAAGGGCGCGUAGGCGGCCUGGCAAGUCGGGCGUGAAAGCCCUCGGCUCAACCGAGGAAUUGCGUCUGAAACUGCCGGGCUUGAGUCCCGGAGAGGGUAGCGGAAUUCCCAGUGUAGCGGUGAAAUGCGUAGAUACUGGGAGGAACACCAGUGGCGAAGGCGGCUACCUGGACGGGUACUGACGCUGAGGCGCGAAAGCUAGGGGAGCAAACAGGAUUAGAUACCCCGGUAGUCC